rnacentral:rRNA from 1 species
UACGUAGGGUGCAAGCGUUGUCCGGAAUUAUUGGGCGUAAAGAGCUUGUAGGCGGUUUGUCGCGUCUGCUGUGAAAUUUCGGGGCUCAACCCCGAACUUGCAGUGGGUACGGGCAGACUAGAGUGUGGUAGGGGAGACUGGAAUUCCUGGUGUAGCGGUGAAAUGCGCAGAUAUCAGGAGGAACACCGAUGGCGAAGGCAGGUCUCUGGGCCGGUACUGACGCUGAGGCGCGAAAGCGUGGGGAGCGAACAGG